rnacentral:rRNA from 1 species
UACGUAGGGGGCAAGCGUUGUCCGGAAUUAUUGGGCGUAAAGAGCUCGUAGGCGGCUUGUCACGUCGACUGUGAAAACCCGGGGCUCAACUCCGGGCCUGCAGUCGAUACGGGCUGGCUUGAGUGCGGUAGGGGAGACUGGAAUUCCUGGUGUAGCGGUGAAAUGCGCAGAUAUCAGGAGGAACACCGGUGGCGAAGGCGGAUCUCUGGGCCUUACCUGACGCUCAGGUGCGAAAGCUAGGGGAGCGAACAGG